rnacentral:rRNA from 1 species
UGGGGAAUUUUGGACAAUGGGCGAAAGCCUGAUCCAGCAAUGCCGCGUGUGUGAAGAAGGCCUUCGGGUUGUAAAGCACUUUUGUCCGGAAAGAAAUCCUUGGCUCUAAUACAGUCGGGGGAUGACGGUACCGGAAGAAUAAGCACCGGCUAACUACGUGCCAGCAGCCGCGGUAAUACGUAGGGUGCAAGCGUUAAUCGGAAUUACUGGGCGUAAAGCGUGCGCAGGCGGUUUGCUAAGACCGAUGUGAAAUCCCCGGGCUCAACCUGGGAACUGCAUUGGUGACUGGCAGGCUAGAGUAUGGCAGGAGGGGGGUAGAACUUCCACGUGUAGCAGUGAAAUGCGUAGAGAUGUGGAGGAAUACCCGAUGGCGAAGGCAGCCCCCUGGGCCAAUACUGACGCUGCAUGCACGAAAGCGUGGGGAGCAAACAGGAUUAGAUACCCUGGUAGUCCACGCCCUAAAGCG